GCCGGGCGUGGUGGUGCAUGCCUGUAAUCCCAGCUACUCAGGAGGCUGAGGCAGGAGAAUCACUUGAACCCAGGAGGCAGAGGUUGCAGUGAGCUGACAUCGAGCCACGGCACUCCAGCCUGGGUGACAGAGGGAGACUCUGUCUCAA
ensembl:misc_RNA Metazoa_SRP Metazoan signal recognition particle RNA